rnacentral:rRNA from 1 species
AACGAACGCUGGCGGCAUGCCUAACACAUGCAAGUCGAACGAGACCUUCGGGUCUAGUGGCGCACGGGUGCGUAACGCGUGGGAACCUGCCCUUAGGUUCGGAAUAACUCCCCGAAAGGGGUGCUAAUACCGGAUAAUGUCUUCGGACCAAAGAUUUAUCGCCUUGGGAUGGGCCCGCGUUGGAUUAGCUAGUUGGUAGGGUAAAAGCCUACCAAGGCGACGAUCCAUAGCUGGUCUGAGAGGAUGAUCAGCCACACUGGGACUGAGACACGGCCCAGACUCCUGCGGGAGGCAGCAGUGGGGAAUAUUGGACACUGGGCGAAAGCCUGAUCCAGCAAGGCCGCGUGGGUGAUUAAGGCCUUAGGGUUGUAAAGCUCUUUUACCCGGGAUGAUAAUGACAGUACCGGGAGAAUAAGCUCCGGCAAAUUCCGU